UACGGGGGGAGCAAGCGUUGUUCGGAUUUACUGGGCGUAAAGGGCGCGUAGGCGGUCAGCACAAGUCAGUUGUGAAAUCUCCGGGCUUAACUCGGAAAGGUCAACUGAUACUGUGCGACUAGAGUGCAGAAGGGGCAACUGGAAUUCUCGGUGUAGCGGUGAAAUGCGUAGAGAUGUGGAGGAACACCGAUGGCGAAGGCAGCCUUCUGGGCCAACACUGACGCUCAUGCACGAAAGCGUGGGGAGCGAAACAGGAUU
rnacentral:rRNA from 1 species